rnacentral:rRNA from 1 species
AGUUUGAUCCUGGCUCAGGACGAACGCUGGCGGCGUGCUUAACACAUGCAAGUCGAACGGAAAGGCCCCUUCGGGGGUACUCGAGUGGCGAACGGGUGAGUAACACGUGGGUAAUCUGCCCUGCACUUCGGGAUAAGCCUGGGAAACUGGGUCUAAUACCGGAUAGGACCACUUGGCGCAUGCCUUGUGGUGGAAAGCUUUUGCGGUGUGGGAUGGGCCCGCGGCCUAUCAGCUUGUUGGUGGGGUGACGGCCUACCAAGGCGACGACGGGUAGCCGGCCUGAGAGGGUGUCCGGCCACACUGGGACUGAGAUACGGCCCAGACUCCUACGGGAGGCAGCAGUGGGGAAUAUUGCACAAUGGGCGCAAGCCUGAUGCAGCGACGCCGCGUGGGGGAUGACGGCCUUCGGGUUGUAAACCUCUUUCAGCAGGGACGAAGCGCAAGUGACGGUACCUGCAGAAGAAGCACCGGCCAACUACGUGCCAGCAGCCGCGGUAAUAC